rnacentral:rRNA from 1 species
AUGGACGCGUCGAGCGCGAGCGGCGAGAGUGGAAGCGGAGGCGGUCGCGGGACUGGCAGGAGGUGGAAGGGGAAGGGGGUGACGCCGAUACAGGCGCGGCGGCAGCAGCAGCUGGCGCCGGUCUUCGAGGACGCGUCCGCGGCAUUGCUGCGCCCGCUCAGGAAGAUCGGGAGGAGCCCCGACCGCCUCCACCGGACCACGUCGUCGCUCUCCACUUCCUCGUCGUCGGCCCCGGCCUCUCCUCGGUCUUUCCCCGCCUCCGACGCCGUCGCGCCUUCCGCGCGGCACAUCUUCCCCUUCGCGUAUGAGCCCUCGGCGACGACGGCGCGCGAGAGCCCGCAGCUUCUCCGGCAGUACUCCAGUAUGUCCCAACCAGCGUCGCCGCCGCCGCAGCAGCCUUUGCGGCACCAGCAGAUGAUCUCCUUCGGCGGGUCGCCUCCCUGCGCGACCCAGUCGUUCUUCAUGCCAGCCGAGAGCACGCAGCAGCAGCAGCAUCUGCUGCGGUACUGGAGCGAGGCGCUGAACCUGAGCCCCCGCGGCGGCCUGGCCGGCAUGCCGCCUUCGCUGUACCAGCAGCUGCUGCGGGCGCCGCCCCCGCCGCAGAAACUGUACCGCGGCGUGCGGCAGCGGCACUGGGGUAAGUGGGUGGCGGAGAUCCGCCUGCCACGGAAUCGCACGCGGCUGUGGCUCGGCACCUUCGACACCGCAGAGGAUGCCGCCAUGGCGUACGACCGCGAGGCCUUCAAGCUCCGUGGCGAGAACGCGCGGCUCAACUUCCCCGAUCGGUUCCUCGGGAAGGGCCGCGCAGGAGGGAGCGGCCGCACCAGCGCCACCAGCUCCGCUGCCCCCUCGGCCGCCGCCGGCACCGCUUCCUGCUCGUCGUCAUCGUCGUCGCCUCCGCAAACUUCUGACGAGGCGCCGGCCAACACGCAGCAAGCUCCGCGGCAGCGGGAACAGCAGCACGCAGAAUGGUCCACGCUUGAAAACCGAGCACAGCAUCCACCCCCAACGAGUAUUCCCCAGGAUGGCGGCUCCCGCGACGCGGCUACGCCCUACUCGGCCGAAAUGUUUCACUCGUCGGCGCCGUCCGGCGGCAUGUGGGCUCAGGCCGACGAGUCAUGGUUCAACGCAUGGGGCCCUGGCAGCUCCUUCUGGGACUACGACAUGGACGACAGUGCUCGCAGCCUCUUCAUUCACCACCCCCGCUUCUCCGGUGAGGAUGCCGGCAUGUCGCAUCCUGGCGCACAAGAAACACCACCGGCGACGGCAGCAGCAGGGACGUCGGACACAACAUGCGAUGACGUCCCGGUAACCUCUUCUUCAGUUCCUCCUCCAGAAACACACCAGACUCCAAACUUCAUGUGA